rnacentral:lncRNA from 10 species
AAUUUUUUUUUUUUUUUUUAUUUUUUGAAAAGGAGUCUUGUUCUGUCACCCAGGCUGGAGUGCAGUGGCGCCAUCUCAGCUCACUGAAACCUCCACCCCGACUGGUUCAAACGAUCCUCCUGCUUCAGCCCCCUUAGGAGCUGGGACUGCAGGCUGCACCACCAUGCCCAGCUAGUUUUUAUAUCUUUGGUAGAGAUGGGUUUUCGUUAUGUUGGCCAGACUGGUCUUGAACUCCUGGGCUCAGCCACACAGUAUCUGUUAGACUGUGCAUAAUCCAGCUAACAUUUUCAGACUUCAGUAUUCUCCACAGCUGACCAAUAAUGUUCAUAUGGGAUGUGAGUUGUAUUAGAUGGCUUCCUGGGAUUUGUUAGCUUCAGGGUUUUUGAUGUAAUUCUGCCAUGCAUAAUCACCAUUCUCUUUUCAAUUGCACAAAGGCCAUUUUUCUGAGAUUUCAUGUAAAAUUAUGAUGGUGGGUUUACAGAGAUCAAAGAGUUAUGAGCAAAGAGGGUGCCCAAAGAAAUUACUGCUAGAAUAAUUACUGUUGCUAACAGUACUGUAACUUAAAAUAUUUGUUCAAGCAACAUAUAUUGAAUGCCUUGGGUAUGCUAGGCCUGGAGGUACAGAGUGAACAAAAUAGUUGUGUUUGGAAAAUUAUGAUAAGUUAAUGAUAAGCCCUCUUAGUAGAGGGCUUAUUUCAAGGAAGGACAGCAAGUACAAAAUGUAAAACUGGUGAAACUGAAAGAAGCCAAUGUGAUUGGAGUGCAGAGACUGAGGGGCUGGGUUGGGUAGGAUUUGGCUCAGGUGCUAACCACAGCUGAGAGGGCAAGUAAGAUGCAGUCUCAAAGUGUCCUUUGGGUUUAGCAACACUGUGGAGCUCAAGUGAAGUCCCUUUCAAGGAGCAGUGGUGGUGACAGCCACAGCAGAGUGGGUGGAGAAUUGUCCAGGAGAUGAGGCCACAGAUGUGGUGAGAAUGAGCACCGUCUUGAGAAAUUUGGUUAUGAAAAGAAGAAAAGAGAGGGGAAAAUAGAUGGGGAGUGUUUAGGGCUGAGUGUUUGAGUCCCUCCAAAAUUUAUGUGCUGAUAUCCUACCCCCCAAUGUGAUGGUAUUAGGAGGUGGAGACUUUGGGAGGUGAUUAGGUCAGAGGGUGGAGCCCUUAUGAGUGGGAUUAGUGCCCUUAUAAAAGGACCCCAGAGAGCUCUCUCACUCUCCUUUUCACAAGCAGACGCAGCAAUCAGACAGCUGUUUACAAACUAAGAAGAGGGUCCUCACCAUGAACCUGACCCUGCUGGCAUCCUUGUCUUGGACUUCCAAUUUCCAAAACGAGGUGCUCUUUCCUGCUACAUUUGGAUACAAGUCUCUGGUGGGCCCUGUUUGCCCAGAUCCUUGGGCAAUGUCAGGCCUCUGAGCCCAAGCCAAGCCAUCGCAUCCCCUGUGACUUGCACGUAUAAGCCCAGAUGGCCUGAAGUAACUGAAGAAUCACAAAAGAAGUGAAUAUGCCCUGCCCCACCUUAACUGAUGACAUUCCACCACAAAAGAAGUGUAAAUGGCCGGUCCUUGCCUUAAGUGAUGACAUUACCUUGUGAAAGUCCUUUUCCUGGCUCAUCCUGGCUCAGAAAGCACCCCCACUGAGCACUUGCAACUCCCACUCCUGCCCACCAGAGAACAAACCGCCUUUGACUAUAAUUUUCCUUUACCUACCCAAAUCCUAUAAAACGGCCCCACCCCUAUCUCCCUUUGCUGACUCUCUUUUUGGACUCAGCCCGCCUGCACCCAGGUG